rnacentral:rRNA from 1 species
ACAUGCAAGUCGAGGGGUAACAAGUCUAGCUUGCUAGAUGUUGACGACCGGCGCACGGGUGCGCAACGCGUAUACAAUCUGCCCCCUACUGUGGGAUAGCCCAGAGAAAUUUGGAUUAAUACCACAUGGUACCAUAUUACGGCAUCGUAUUUAUGGUUAAAGGUUACGGUAGGGGAUGAGUAUGCGUCCCAUUAGUUAGUUGGCGAGGUAACGGCUCACCAAGACCGCGAUGGGUAGGGGCCCUGAGAGGGGGAUCCCCCACACUGGUACUGAGACACGGACCAGACUCCUACGGGAGGCAGCAGUGAGGAAUAUUGGACAAUGGGCGGGAGCCUGAUCCAGCCAUGCCGCGUGCAGGAAGAAUGCCCUAUGGGUAGUAAACUGCUUUUAUACGGGAAGAAAAAGGGCUACGUGUAGCCCACUGACGGUACCKUAAGAAUAAGGACCGGSU